AUAUACUCAAAACUUCGUUUUGGUGGUGGGCACGUAUCUGGCGCAAGCUAGAUUUGCCUGAAAUAUAGUGGUAGAUAUCGCUACGAGUGAUGCAAGUUAGCCAAUGCUAUUAAGUUAAUUCGUUGGUGAAGCAUGUGGAGCUUUAGUGAUAGUCUUCCUUAAUUAUUGGAAUUUUUUCUAA
rnacentral:misc_RNA from 1 species